CACACAGCAUUAUUAUGUUGUACAUUUUGUAAAAGAGAGCACUGUUGAAGUUGUACCAGAGCUGUAGGUGGAGAAGAGAGGUGGGGACCUGUGUUGCUACUGGCCAAGAAAUGCCAGCGAAACAAUGAUUAAGAGAGGAGACCGGCCUGACAUUUUUAUGGGAGAAGUACAGAAUUUCCAUCUUUUCAUCCACUGAUAAUUACUCUGUGGCAGAGCAACGAGCCAAAUGGAGGGUUGACACCUCCAAUGUUGAAUCUGACGAGGAACCAGCGAAGAGGGCGGUGACUAAACCAAUCAGAUUCCGUGUAGAGCCACCUGAUGAUGAUGGAAGUGAAGCACUCCAGAAAAAGACAAAUGAACCCAGACAAGCCCAGCUUCCAGUGCCCCAGCUUCCACCAGCCCCUAGUGAGCCAGUGUCUUUGAAAAUACCCUACAAGUUGCAGAUGCAGAGGACUUGAGACCAUGUGCCACCUCAAGCCAGAGCGACAGUAAGUGUCUG